CCUACGGGUGGCUGCAGUGAGGAAUUUUCCGCAAUGGGCGAAAGCCUGACGGAGCAAUGCCGCGUGGAGGAAGACAGCCUAUGGGUCGUAAACUCCUUUUCUUAGAGAAGAAGCUCUGACGGUAUCUAAGGAAUAAGCAUCGGCUAACUCCGUGCCAGCAGCCGCGGUAAUACGGGGGAUGCAAGCGUUAUCCGGAAUGAUUGGGCGUAAAGGGUCCGUAGGUGGUCGAUAAAGUCUACCGUUCAAUACCAGGGCUUAACCCUGGGGCAGCGGUG
rnacentral:rRNA from 1 species